rnacentral:rRNA from 1 species
GAUAAACGCUGGCGGCGCACAUAAGACAUGCAAGUUGAACGGACUUAAUCGAAAUAUUUAUAUUUUGAAGCGGUUAGUGGCGGACUGGUGAGUAACGCGUAAGGAACCUGCCUAUUAGAGGGGAAUAACAGUGAGAAAUCAUUGCUAAUACCGCAUAUGCCAUAGAUAUCACAUGAUAACAGUGGGAAAGGAGCAAUCCGCUAAUAGAUGGCCUGGCGUCUGAUUAGAUAGUUGGUGGGGUAACGGCCUACCAAGUCGACGAUCAGUAGCCGGACUGAGAGGUUGAACGGCCAAAUUGGGACGGAGAUACGGCCCAGACUCCUUCGGGAGGCAGCAGUCGGGAAUAUUGCGCAAGGGAGGAAACUCAGACGCAGUGACGCCGCGUAUAGGAAGAAGGUUUUCGGAUUGUAAACUAUUGUCGUUAGGGAAGAGAAAUGACAGUACCUAAGGAGGAAGCUCCGGCUAACUACGUG